UCUAGUUCCAGGAACUCAUCUGGAGUGUACGUGCAGGUCGCAGAGGUCGCUUUGCCACCCAUGGCAUGGUCAGUCGGCCUAAAAGACCUUACAGAAUUGUUGAAUGGCUUGAAUUCUAAUCUGAAUGAUUUUUCUUUGUUCUUUAAAUACUUCUGAGUAUUUGAUAGAGCUCCUGGCAUUAUUAGGGUUCUCACCGGCCCAAAAGUGACUUGAUCUAGAGAAAAGAUGAACUAGAUUUGAGUCAAGACUGGGGUUGUACCCUCUGCCAUUUGCCAGCUAUGUGAUUUUGAGAAAAUUGCUUUAUAUAUAUGGACCUCGAUUUCUUAAAGUCAUGGUAAUAAUACUCACAUUGCCUACUUCAAAAUGUUGCCUAAGAAGCCGUGGGACUGGGCACGCAUGCAGGAAUCAGCAGCAGGUUGGCGUGUGAAAGGUUUUCUUGCUCUAGAACCUCAUAGAAAAUUCUCAGGGAGAUUCUUCAAGCAACCACUAUGUCAGCAGACCCAGAUAUUUUCCUUUCUUCAUAUGAUGGAGAUCAGGGAUCCAAACUUAUUUGAAAAGCUAAAGAGGCACCAUUCGUACCCAUUGGAAUGGCAGGUUUUAUAGCAAUUGUUGCAUAUGGGUUAUACAAAUUGAAGAGCAGGGGAAACACUAAAAUGUCUGUUCAUCUGAUCCACAUGCAUGUGGCAGCCCAGGGCUUUGUUGUAGGAGCAGUGACUGUUGGUAUGGGCUAUUCCACGUAUCGGGAAUACUGGGCAAAACCUAAGCCUUAGAAGAAGAGUUGCUGUCUUGGUCUUGUUGGAGGAGCUUACUUUAGUUAGACAUCUCUUUAUUGAAGUUACGUAUUGUUGAAAAUAAACUAAUUUGUAUGGGUUUAGAUGGUAAAAUGGCA